UGCUGCUUGCCAAAAACCCUAGCCGAGGCGGGGGCGGAGGGGGAGCCUGCGACCGCAGCUCCGUCUUCGUCCGCGGCUGGUUAUCCGCGCCAGAAACUCUCUUCGGAUGGUGGAUGCGCGGGUGCACGAGGCCCUCCUCCUCCUCUCUCUGUAUUCCUUUCCUUGACCACGCGCCUCUUCUUUGUUCGCUUCUCCACCUGCGUUCUCCUUCGUCACGGUCUAAUGAGCCGUUAAGCUGUGGGAGAUUUUACCUCUCCGGACGCUGGAACGACUUCUUUCAAUUAAUUAUCUCGCAUUUUGUUGGAAAACUUUCUUCAACGCAGCUCCUUAGUCGUCCGGAAAUCUGCGGCUCGUUCUAACUGGCUGCUGUUCAUUGCAGGCUGCAUCAGCUUCUGUUGAAUCAAUUUCUUUCGGCGCCUUCUUCGCCGUGGAGAACACUAGGAAGAUGAGUGUGAAAUAGGACUACAAGAUCGGACCUUCUUGGUGUCAAUGGCAGACCAGUGGCAGAUGGACUCUACGACCCUGCACUGGGUCCAGUAUAUGGAUCUGAUCUGUGGGCGUUGACUUUCGUCUUUCUGUUAUUUGCAGUGUAUCAUCAAGGCACUUUCCAGUGCAUGCAGUCAGUGGGGCUGAUGCCCAAAUGGUUUGGACCAUUUCUGUGUGUGAUGAACCUGCUACAGACGCACAAGGACUGGCUACGCAUUAGAUAUUGUAUGGGCCCUUUGUGAUUGGGUCGGAUGUCAAGAGAAGACACUUACUCCAC
rnacentral:lncRNA from 1 species